rnacentral:piRNA from 1 species
AACUCUACAGUCAGUACCUCAGG